rnacentral:rRNA from 1 species
AAUGAACGUUGGCGGCGUGGAUUAGGCAUGCAAGUCGUGCGAUAACCCCGCAAGGGGGGAAAGCGGCGAAAGGGAGAGUAACGCGUGGGUACCUGCCCCUUGGUCCGGAAUAGCUGCGGGAAACUGCAGGUAAUGCCGGAUAAUAUCCUCGGAUCAAAGGUGUGAUUCCGCCGAGGGAGGGGCCCGCGUUCUAUUAGCUAGUUGGUAGGGUAAUGGCCUACCAAGGCGACGAUGGAUACCGGGUGGGAGAGCAUGACCCGGCUCACUGGGACUGGGACACUGCCCAGACACCUACGGGUGGCUGCAGUCGAGAAUCUUCGGCAAUGGGCGCAAGCCUGACCGAGCGACGCCGCGUGCGGGAUGAAGGCCUUCGGGUUGUAAACCGCUGUCGUAGAGGAGGAAAUGCCAUGGGGUUCUCUCCAUGGUUUGACCUAUUCUAGGAGGAAGGACGGGCUAAGUUCGUGCCAGCCGCCGCGGUAA